rnacentral:rRNA from 1 species
GACGAACGCUGGCGGCGUGCUUAACACAUGCAAGUCGAACGAAGUGGCGAACGGGUGAGUAACGCGUAAUCCACCUGCCCUUCAGAGGGGGACAACAGUUGGAAACGACUGCUACUACCGCAUACUGAAGGCGGGGAUUGCGUCUGAUUAGCUAGUGGGAGGGGGAACGGCCCCCCAAGGCGAUGAUCAGUAGCCGGUCUGAGAGGAUGAACGGCCACAUUGGGACUGAGACACGGCCCAGACUCCUACGGGAGGCAGCAGUGGGGAAUUUUGGACAAUGGGCGCAAGCCUGAUCCAGCCAUGCCGCGUGUCUGAAGAAGGCCUUCGGGUUGUAAAGCUCUGUUAAUCGGGACGCGGUACCGGAAUAGAAAGCCACGGCUAACUACGUGCCAGCAGCCGCGGUAAUAC